rnacentral:rRNA from 1 species
AUGAGAGUUUGAUCCUGGCUCAGGACGAACGCUGGCGGCGUGCCUAAUACAUGCAAGUCGAACGCUUCUUUUUCCACCGGAGCUUGCUCCACCGGAAAAAGAGGAGUGGCGAACGGGUGAGUAACACGUGGGUAACCUGCCCAUCAGAAGGGGAUAACACUUGGAAACAGGUGCUAAUACCGUAUAACAAUCAAAACCGCAUGGUUUUGAUUUGAAAGGCGCUUUCGGGUGUCGCUGAUGGAUGGACCCGCGGUGCAUUAGCUAGUUGGUGAGGUAACGGCUCACCAAGGCCACGAUGCAUAGCCGACCUGAGAGGGUGAUCGGCCACAUUGGGACUGAGACACGGCCCAAACUCCUACGGGAGGCAGCAGUAGGGAAUCUUCGGCAAUGGACGAAAGUCUGACCGAGCAACGCCGCGUGAGUGAAGAAGGUUUUCGGAUCGUAAAACUCUGUUGUUAGAGAAGAACAAGGAUGAGAGUGACUGUUCAUCCCUUGACGGUAUCUAACCAGAAAGCCACGGCUAACUACGUGCCAGCAGCCGCGGUAAUACGUAGGUGGCAAGCGUUGUCCGGAUUUAUUGGGGUAAAGCGAGCGCAGGCGGUUUCUUAAGUCUGAUGUGAAAGCCCCCGGCUCAACCGGGGAGGGUCAUUGGAAACUGGGAGACUUGAGUGCAGAAGAGGAGAGUGGAAUUCCAUGUGUAGCGGUGAAAUGCGUAGAUAUAUGGAGGAACACCAGUGGCGAAGGCGGCUCUCUGGUCUGUAACUGACGCUGAGGCUCGAAAGCGUGGGGAGCAAACAGGAUUAGAUACCCUGGUAGUCCACG